UGGGACAAAUAGCUCUUUAUCCAAAAGGAGGCAAAGGAAACUGUCACUAUUCAUGCUGAGGAAGAAGUCUUAGUUAAAUACCUUCCUUCUACAACUGUGUCACCUAGCUGCCCAGUCUCUCUG
rnacentral:lncRNA from 1 species